rnacentral:rRNA from 1 species
GACGAACGCUGGCGGCGUGCUUAACACAUGCAAGUCGAACGGAAAGGCCCUGCUUUUGUGGGGUGCUCGAGUGGCGAACGGGUGAGUAACACGUGAGUAACCUGCCCUUGACUUUGGGAUAACUUCAGGAAACUGGGGCUAAUACCGGAUAGGAGCUCCUGCUGCAUGGUGGGGGUUGGAAAGUUUCGGCGGUUGGGGAUGGACUCGCGGCUUAUCAGCUUGUUGGUGGGGUAGUGGCUUACCAAGGCUUUGACGGGUAGCCGGCCUGAGAGGGUGACCGGCCACAUUGGGACUGAGAUACGGCCCAGACUGCUACGGGAGGCAGCAGUGGGGAAUAUUGCACAAUGGGCGGAAGCCUAAUGCAGCAACGCCGCGUGCGGGAUGACGGCCUUCGGGUUGUAAACCGCUUUCGCCUGUGACGAAGCGUGAGUGACGGUAAUGGGUAAAGAAGCACCGGCUAACUACGUG